rnacentral:sRNA from 1 species
AGUAUCCCGGGUUUCAUCCUGGGUAGGCGCUCAAGGUCUGGCUGCACUUUCUAGCGGCCUGCGCGGUAGCUUGCUUUGGCAUGGAGUGUCCGGUGGUGCGAAGCCCUGCUUCGGCAGUGGUACUUGCUCACCGUGUGCAUUCCUACGCCGGGGCUCGAGAAAUGCGCUGGACACCGCACGAGCUGGCGAAGUAGUCUGACGUGAUCGAAAGGUUGCAGAGGGCUACGGUUCAGAAUCUGCGAUAGCGCAACUACCACGAUUGCAGCAGUUACCCAUCAGACCCGUCUUGAAACACGGACCAAGGAGUCUAGCAUGUGCGCGAGUUAAAGGGUGAAAAACCCUCAAGCGCAAUGAAAGUGAAUCUGCUGGGAGCUCGUCCACGUGGCGAGUGCACCAGUCUACCGUUAUUCUUGCAUUGUCAACUUAGCGGAUAGUGGGCGUACACGCUAGGACCCGAAAGAUGGUGAACUAUGCCUGAACAGGACGAAGCCAGAGGAAAC